CCUACGGGGGGCAGCAGUGGGGAAUAUUGGACAAUGGGGGCAACCCUGAUCCAGCCAUGCCACGUGUGUGAAGAAGGCCCUCGGGUUGUAAAGCACUUUCAGUGAGGAAGAACGCCUGGUGGUUAAUACCCAUCAGGAAAGACAUCACUCACAGAAGAAGCACCGGCUAACUCCGUGCCAGCAGCCGCGGUAAUACGGAGGGUGCGAGCGUUAAUCGGAAUUACUGGGCGUAAAGCGCGCGUAGGUGGCUUGAUAAGCCGGUUGUGAAAGCCCCGGGCUCAACCUGGGAACGGCAUCCGGAACUGUCAAGCUAGAGUGCAGGAGAGGAAGGUAGAAUUCCCGGUGUAGCGGUGAAAUGCGUAGAGAUCGGGAGGAAUACCAGUGGCGAAGGCGGCCUUCUGGACUGACACUGACACUGAGGUGCGAAAGCGUGGGUAGCAAACAGGAUUAGAUACCCCAGUAGUC
rnacentral:rRNA from 1 species